rnacentral:tRNA from 1 species
GGCGAGGUAGCAAAGAGGUCAUGCAGCGGCCUGCAAAGCCGUCCAGAUGGGUUCGAUUCCCGUCCUCGCCUCCA